rnacentral:lncRNA from 8 species
UAGAAAACAGAACACUAAGGGCGGUUUGUGUCUUGGAAAGCUGCCCUUCAUCAGAGAUCGGUAUAUACUGUACUUGUAUGGUAAAUCAGUCCUAUCUAAUUGAAAUCACAAGCUACCCUUGAGAUGUUAUGCUGAAUCAUCCCAUUUUACACCUCACCUCUAACAUCCCUCUGCUCCCAUCCCUCCGUCCCUCUGCUCUCAUCCCUCCAUCUCUCCUCCUCUCCCUCCAUCUGUCCUCCAUCUCUCCUCUCCUCCCAUCCCUCCAUCUUUCCUCCCAUCCCUCCAUCUCUCCCUCUAUCUCUUCUCUCCUCCCAUCCCUCUCCCUUCUUAUCUCCCCCAUCCCUCCAUCUCUCCUCCCAUCCCUCCAUCUCUCCUCCUCUCCCUCCAUCUGUCCUCCAUCUCUCCUUUCCUCCCAUCCCUCCAUCUCUCCUCCCAUCCCUCCAUCAUCCCUCCCAUCCCUCCAUCUCUCCCUCCAUCUCUCCUCUCCUCCCAUCCCUCUCCCUCCUUAUCUCCUCCCAUCCCUCCAUCUCUCCUCCCAUCCCUCCAUCUCUCCUCCCAUCCCUCCAUCUUUCCUCCCAUCUCUCCAUCUCUCCCUCCAUCUCUCCUCUCCUCCCAUCCCUCUCCCUCCUUAUCUCCCCCAUCCCUCCAUCUCUCCUCCCAUCCCUCCAUCUCUCCUCCUCUCCCUCCAUCUGUCCUCCAUCUCUCCUUUCCUCCCAUCCCUCCAUCUCUCCUCCCAUCCCUCCAUCUUUCCUCCCAUCCCUCCAUCUCUCCCUCCAUCUCUCCUCUCCUCCCAUCCCUCUCCCUCCUUAUCUCCUCCCAUCCCUCCAUCUCUCCUCCCAUCCCUCCAUUUCUCCAUCUAUCCUCCUCUCCCUCCAUCUCUCCCUCCAUCUCUCCUCUCCUCCCAUCCCUCUCCAUCCUUAUCUCCUCCCAUCCCUCCAUCUCUCCUCCCAUCCCUCUCCUCCCUUCUCUCCUCCAUCUCUUCUCUCCUCCCAUCCCUCCAUCUCUUCUUCUGUCCCUCUCCAUCUCUCCUCUCAUCCCUCUUCUCCCAUCCCUCUACUCCCUAUAGACCCUGGUCAAAAGUAGUGCCCUAUAAAGGGAAUAGGGUGCCAUUUUUGAAGCAGUCCUGCUCUCCGAUACCA